UUUUUUUUUUUUUUUUUUUUUUUUUUUUUGGUCUUUUUGCCUCUUGAGGGCCACUUCCACAGCAUAUGGAGGUUCCCAGGCUAGGGGUCUAAUUGGAGCUGUGGCUGCCGGCCUGCGCCAGAGCCACAGCAAUGCGGGAUCCGAGCCGCGUCUGUAACCUACACCACAGCUCAUGGCAACGCUGGAUCCUUAACCCACUGAGCAAGGGCAGGGAUCAAACCCACGACCACAUGGUUCCUAGUUGGAUUCGUUAACCACUGCGCCACGAUGGGAACUCCUGUUUUGUCUUUAUAGGGCCACACCUGUAGCAUAUAGAGGUUCCCAGGCUAGGGGUCAAAUCAGAGCUGCAGCUGCUGGCCUACGCCACAGCCAGAGCAAACUGGGAUCCAAGCCUCGUCUUCGACCUACACCACAACUCACAGCAAUGCUGGAUCCUUAACCCACUGAGUGAAGCUGGGGAUUGAACCCAGGUCCUCAUGGAUAUUAGUCAUUAACCACUGAGCUAUGACAGGAACUUUUUCCACUUACUUUUUUUUUUUUAAACCUCUAGAUUAUAAGACUCUUGAGAUUGGGGAACAUUUCACUCAAUUUUUGUUUUCUCCAGCACCCAGCACCCUGCCUGGAAUGUGGCAGGCCCUCCACUGUUGAUUGGAUGAAAGACAUUUAAUAAACGUCUGCCCAAUGUAGUCCCAACCGAGGUGUCAUUUAAACUAUCAAAGUUUUGGAGUUCCCAUUGUGGUGCAAAAGAAACAAAUCCAACAUGAGAUUGAGUGUUUGAUCCCCAGCCCUGCUCAGUGGGUUAAGGAUCUGGCGUUGCCAUGAGCUGUGGUGUAGGUCACAGACACGGCUUGGAUCCCGAGUUGCUGUGGCUGUGACUUACAUCACAGCUCACGGCAAUACCAGAUCCCCGACCCACUGAGCAAGGUCAGAGAUCGAACCCAAAUCUUCAUGGCUACUAGUCAGGUUCGUUACCACUAAGCCACGAUGGGGACUCUUAAACUUGAAAGUUAAUUAAAGUUUGGGCGUAGAAACAGAAUUCCAAGUAAGUGAUGCAGGUGAUGGAAAUAGGUACAGCCUACAAGGCAGGCAAAAGGGAAGGGGCUGUCAUUUUGCACAUGACUUUUCAUGUCAUUUAACAUUAUGUCUUGGAUGUUUUACCAUGUUUCUAAUGUAGAGUGAUCUGAUUAUCUUUCCUGCCCACAUUGGACUCUGUUGUAUGGCCAUGGGUUAAAUUAUUUCUUUAGCUUGUCCCCAGUUAACACCACUACAUCCACAGCUGCAGGUGAAAUUCUCAGACAUGCCUCCUUCUGAGAAUAUGUAUUUCUCAAGAAAGGCUCUUGACAACUGGCAGUUUAUACUCAUGGAUAAUUAUAAUGGAUUUUGCCAAAUUGCUCUCCUAACUGGCUGUACCAACACUCCUAGCAACCCUGUAUUUGCAUGGCCUAGUUGCAUUCUGUCAAUUAUUGCUCCUCCUCUGUGAAUCAGUCCUUUCAUCCCCCACCCCACUCCACAAAAGCCACCCACCC
rnacentral:lncRNA from 1 species